AUGUACGUAUUUUGUGAUGGUUAC
rnacentral:siRNA from 1 species